rnacentral:rRNA from 1 species
GACGAACGCUGGCGGCGUGCUUAACACAUGCAAGUCGAACGAUGAACCCGGAGCUUGCUCCGGUGGAUUAGUGGCGAACGGGUGAGUAAUGCAUCGGAACGUACCGUGUAAUGGGGGAUAACGUAGCGAAAGUUACGCUAAUACCGCAUACGACCUGAGGGUGAAAGCAGGGGAUCGCAAGACCUUGCGUUAUACGAGCGGCCGAUGUCAGAUUAGCUAGUUGGUGAGGUAAAGGCUCACCAAGGCGACGAUCUGUAGCGGGUCUGAGAGGAUGAUCGGCCACACUGGGACUGAGACACGGCCCAGACUCCUACGGGAGGAAGCAGUGGGGAAUAUUGGACAAUGGACGCAAGUCUGAUCCAGCCAUUCCGCGUGCAGGACGAAGGCCUUCGGGUUGUAAACUGCUUUUGUACAGAACGAAAAGGUCUCUAUUAAUACUAGGGGCUCAUGACGGUACUGUAAGAAUAAGCACCGGCUAACUACGUGCCAGCCGCCGCGGUAA